rnacentral:rRNA from 1 species
AGUGAACGCUGGCGGUAGGCCUAACACAUGCAAGUCGAACGGCAGCACAGUAAGAGCUUGCUCUUACGGGUGGCGAGUGGCGGACGGGUGAGGAAUACAUCGGAAUCUACUUUUUCGUGGGGGAUAACGUAGGGAAACUUACGCUAAUACCGCAUACGACCUACGGGUGAAAGCAGGGGAGCUUCGGACCUUGCGCGAUUGAAUGAGCCGAUGUCGGAUUAGCUAGUUGGCGGGGUAAAGGCCCACCAAGGCGACGAUCCGUAGCUGGUCUGAGAGGAUGAUCGGCCACCCUGGAGGUGAGACACGGUCCUGGCUCCUACGGGAGGCAGCAGUGUGCAAUAUUGGACAAUGGGCGCGAGCCUGAUCCAGCCAUCCCGCGUGGGUGACGACGGCCUUCGGUUUGUAAAGCCCUUUUGUUGGGAAAGAAAAGCAGCAGGUUAAUACCCCGCUGUUCUGACGGUACCCAAAGAAUAAGCACCGGCUAACUUCGUG